rnacentral:rRNA from 1 species
AUACGGAGGGGGCUAGCGUUGUUCGGAAUUACUGGGCGUAAAGCGUACGUAGGCGGACUGAUCAGUUGGGGGUGAAAUCCCAGGGCUAAACCCUGGAACUGCCUUCAAUACUGUCAGUCUUGAGAUUGGAAGAGGUGAGUGGAAUUCCUAGUGUAGAGGUGAAAUUCAUAGAUAUUAGGAGGAACACCAGUGGCGAAGGCGGCUCACUGGUCCAAUACUGACGCUGAGGUACGAAAGCGUGGGGAGCAAACAGGAUUAGAAACCCUAGUAGUCC